AUCUAAAAUUUAAAUAUCCUGGUUUAGGGCAACAUAUCCAAUAAAUUAACGGCGCCUGAACAAUUACAUCUCCUUAAAAUUAACGGACCACCGACCUCGGCCAGGACUAUCCUGAUUCGCCUUCAUCAUGGCCACAACCAACAUAAUAUUAACUACGA